GAUUUCUGGUUCGGCGCACUUGGCCCGCCUCGGUUUACGGGGUUGUGUGCCGGUGUGCGCCAUCCAUCCUUCGAGUGAAUAAUUCUUCCCUUCAUUGGUGUAGGAAUUACCUAACUCGAUCUUUUACUUUGAAAAAAUUAGAGUGUUUAAAGCAGGCUUGCGCUAUGAAUACAUUAGCAUGGAAUAAUAAUUUAGGACUUUGGUCUUAUUUUGUUGGUUUCUAGGACUAAAGUAAUGAUUGAUAGGGACAGUUGGGGGUGCUAGUAUUCAGCGGCCAGAGGUGAAAUUCUUGGAUUCGCUGAAGACUAACUUAUGCGAAAGCAUU
rnacentral:rRNA from 1 species